GAUGAAGAACGUAGCGAAAUGCGAUAAGUAAUGUGAAUUGCAGAAUUCAGUGAAUCAUCGAAUCUUUGAACGCACAUUGCGCCCCUUGGUAUUCCGAGGGGCAUGCCUGUUCGAGCGUCAUUAUAACCCCUCAAGCUCAGCUUGGUGUUGGGGCCUGCUGCACUGGCAGCCCUUAAAAUCAGUGGCGGCGCCAUCUGGCUCUAAGCGUAGUAAUUCUUCUCGCUAUGGAGUCCUGGUGGAUGCUUGCCAUCAACCCCCAAUUUUUCUAUGGUUGACCUCGGAUCAGGUAGGGAUACCCGCUGAACUUAAGUAUAUCAAUAAGCGGAGGA
rnacentral:misc_RNA from 1 species